GACGAACGCUGGCGGCGUGCUUAACACAUGCAAGUCAAGGGGGCCCGACGCAAUGGGCAACCGGCGAACGGGUGCGUAACACGUGAGCAACCUACCGAACUGUGGGGGAUAGCCGGCCUAACGGCCGAGUAAUACCGCAUACGCUCUCAGUGAGGCAUUUCAUUGAGAGGAAACCUACGGGACAGAUCGAGGGGCUCGCGGCCUAUCAGCUAGUUGGCGAGGUAACGGCNCACCAAGGCAACGACGGGUAGCUGGUCUGAGAGGAUGGCCAGCCACAUUGGGACUGAGAUACGGCCCAGACUCCUACGGGAGGCAGCAGUGGGAAUCUUGCGCAAUGGCCUAACGGCUGACGCAGCGACGCCGCGUGAGGGAUGACGGCCU
rnacentral:rRNA from 1 species